rnacentral:lncRNA from 1 species
UUAUAAAUAACCUGCCGGCGCCUGGGUCAGCUGCCAGGCCAAGGCCCAGGGAGGCUCCUGGGGCGACAGCUGCCACCCAGCCCCCUGGCAUCCCUGCCCCCUUCCCAUGGCCCUAACACGUGGGGACCCGACUCUGGGAGAAGCAGCUGCAGGGAAAGCCUGAUAAAUCGAGGAAACCAGAAGGCCCCUGCCCACCUCUCAUCACCUCUAGCGCCAGUGGGGGAGUGGAGAGCCCCCUCUCUACACCCUACUCCUACACCCAAGGACCCAAAGAGGACCCCCACAGCAAGCAGGCUCACAGACCCCCAGCUACCGGGAAAACCGCGUGCACGCCUGCGAAUUCCAGGACCCUGGAGAAGGACGCGGCGGCUGGCACCCGCCCUGCCCCUCCCCCGCCUUCCCAAAAGUCCGCGGAGAACUUACACGACCAGGGAGGGCAUUUCGAUUCCACCCUGCCCCAGUCAUGACUGCGAAUUUUAGGGGCUGAAGUCAUCUUGGCUCUCCUGCCAGCCUCCUCCUCAGCCCCCUGCUAACACAGCACUCCAAUGCUCACUAAAGCAGCCGCCACCGAGUGACAUCACCCCUAAGAAGAUGCCCGUCACCCUGACAGUGCUGCUCCAGGGCAAAUUCCACUGAAACAACCCAAGAGUUACAAGGAAGGGGAAAAGCCUGUGGCAGCAUUGGAAAACAGAGAACAAUAUCAUCAAGUGACCGAUAGCACAGACGGAUUUCUGAACGAAAUGAAGAUGAUGGAAUCAGAUCAACAGGGAAGCAGAUGGUGCCCAACAG